rnacentral:pre_miRNA from 1 species
GCGUGGGCUGUGCGAUGAGGUAGUAGGUUGUAUAGUUUUUUGGGUGCAAUCCCAAACGGGUAACUGUACAAUCUACUGUCUUUCCCACGGCUUCAC